UGUUUCCCAACACAUUCUAUCUACAUGGACUGAGUGUGUUGGAUCAGAAUGAACCUCCUCUUGAGUGGAAUAGUGCUUGCAGCCGCUGCAGCUGUGGUCUAUGGAGGGACCUGUUUCCAGAGUGAUGUCUUCCAAUGCACCAUGCACGCCACGCGGGAGUUUCUAUUAUGCGGGCAAAAGCAUGACCAAGUUAUGUGCUGCCGGAGAGACGUAUCUUAAGUGUCUCAACUCCCUCGUCAGCUGCAGCUCCUCCCCACUACUACUUCGACGCCAUCAGAAUCCUCAACAGCAGGGUCACCAUCGAUGACUGCCCCGGCCUUCUCAACCUGACCGUCAGUUAUCCGCCAUCUAUAAUUGGCUGACCACAAUACAUCAACUGUCUUAAACAAAUUUGUAAUAA